rnacentral:rRNA from 1 species
GCCAGACUCCUACGGGAGGCAGCAGUGGGGGAUAUUGCACAAUGGGGGGAACCCUGAUGCAGCGACGCCGCGUGGGUGAAGAAGCGCCUCGGCGCGUAAAGCCCUGUCAGCAGGGAAGAAAAUGACGGUACCUGAAGAAGAAGCCCCGGCUAACUACGUGCCAGCAGCCGCGGUAAUACGUAGGGGGCAAGCGUUAUCCGGAUUUACUGGGUGUAAAGGGGGCGCAGACGGCGAUGCAAGCCAGGAGUGAAAGCCCGGGGCCCAACCCCGGGACUGCUCUGGAAACUGCGGCGCUGGAGUACGGGAGGGGCAGGCGGAAUUCCUGGUGUAGCGGUGAAAUGCGUAGAUAUCAGGAGGAACACCGGCGGCGAAGGCGGCCUGCUGGACCGUGACUGACGUUGAGGCUCGAGAGCGUGGGGAGCAAACAGGAUUAGAUACCCGCGUACG